UACGGAGGGUGCAAGCGUUAUCCGGAUUCACUGGGUUUAAAGGGUGCGUAGGCGGGUAAGUAAGUCCGUGGUGAAAUCUCUGAGCUUAACUCAGAAACUGCCGUGGAUACUAUUUGCCUUGAAUAUUGUGGAGGUGAGCGGAAUAUGUCAUGUAGCGGUGAAAUGCUUAGAUAUGACAUAGAACAUCAAUUGCGAAGGCAGCUCACUACACAAUCAUUGACGCUGAGGCACGAAAGCGUGGGGAUCAAACAGG
rnacentral:rRNA from 1 species